ACGCUUAACACAUGCAAGUCGAACGAAGUAGCAAUACUUAGUGGCAGACGGGUGAGUAACAUGUGGGUAUCUGCCCUUUGGCCUGGAAUAACACGAGGAAACUUGUGCUAAUACUGGAUAAGUCUUUACGGAGAAAGCUUUAUGCACCAUUGGAUGAGCCCGCACUUGAUUAGUUUGUUGGUAGGGUAAUGGCCUACCAAGACUGUGAUCAAUAGCUGAUUUGAGAGGAUGAUCAGCCACAUUGGGACUGAGACACGGCCCAAACUCCUACGGGAGGCAGCAGUGGGGAAUCUUGCACAAUGGAGGAAACUCUGAUGCAGCGAUGCCGCGUGAGUGAAGAAGGCCUUUGGGUUGUAAAGCUCUUUCGUCGGGGAAGAAAAUGACUGUACCCGAAUAAGAAGGUCCGGCUAACUUCGUGCCAGCAGCCGCGGUAAUACGAAGGGACCUAGCGUAGUUCGGAAUUACUGGGCUUAAAGAGUUCGUAGGUGGUUGAAAAAGUUGGUGGUGAAAUCCCAGAGCUUAACUCUGGAACUGCCAUCAAAACUUUUCAGCUAGAGUAUGAUAGAGGAAAGCAGAAUUUCUAGUGUAGAGGUGAAAUUCGUAGAUAUUAGAAAGAAUACCGAUUGCGAAGGCAGCUUUCUGGAUCAUUACUGACACUGAGGAACGAAAGCAUGGGUAGCGAAGAGGAUUAGAUACCCUCGUAGUCCAUGCCGUAAACGAUGUGUGUUAGACGUUGGAAAUUUAUUUUCAGUGUCGCAGCGAAAGCGAUAAACACACCGCCUGGGGAGUACGACCG
rnacentral:rRNA from 1 species